rnacentral:rRNA from 1 species
UACGGGGGGAGCAAGCGUUGUUCGGAUUUACUGGGCGUAAAGGGCGCGUAGGCGGUCAGCACAAGUCAGUUGUGAAAUCUCCUGAGCUUAACUCGGAAAGGUCAACUGAUACUGUGCGACUAGAGUGCGGAAGGGGCAACUGGAAUUGCUUGGUGUAGCGGUGAAAUGCGUAGAAUAUCAAGAGGAACACCUGCGGCGAAGGCGGGUUGCUGGGCCGACACUGACGCUGAGGAGCGAAAGCGUGGGGAGCGAACAGG